rnacentral:lncRNA from 1 species
UGUUGUUGUUGGGCCUUGGUCAAGGUUGAUUUGACUUUUUCAAAUUAAUAUCAUUGGAUUUAGGGGAUUGAUGGAAUGCACAUUCCAUCUCCCAAAAUGAAUGAAUGAUAUUAAUUUGGUAAAAGUCCUCCUUUGACCAAUUUGUGAUUUAAUUCUUUCCCUUUCCACUUCAUCUUAUUCCCCUUCUUCAUUCAUUCACUCCAUUUGGCCUAUGACAUCUCAAAG